UGAAUUUUUGAACAAUGACGUUUUUUCACCAAUUGCUUAUCUUGGCUCAAUCAUACAGCAAUCGUUUCUGAUAAGAUGUGGUAUUAUGAUGGGUGUAACCAUUGCAAGUCCAAAGUUGAGCAAAAGUUUGAAACUUAUGAUAAGAAGGAUGGAACAAGUGAUGUUAGAGAUGAGAAGGUGUAUCAAUGUUCGAACAAGGAUUGUCAAGGAAAAGAUGUUUUCCCGUUGUCCAGGUUUAAAAUACCAAUUCGGGUUCAAGAUUCAACCGGUACGGUGACACUUAUAUUGUUUGGUCAUGAGGCGUUGAAGUUUG